rnacentral:tRNA from 1 species
GCCUUGUUAGGGCAGUAGGUAGCGUGUCAGUCUUAUAAUCUGAAGGUCGUGAGUUCAAUCCUCACACAGGGAU